rnacentral:rRNA from 1 species
AAACCAGCACCUCAAGUGGUCAGGAUGAUUAUUGGGCCUAAAGCAUCCGUAGCCGGCUCUGUAAGUUUUUGGUUAAAUCUGUACGCUUAACGUACAGGCUGCUGGGAAUACUGCAGAGCUAGGGAGUGGGAGAGGUAGACGGUACUCGGGAGGAAGUGGUAAAAUGCUUUGAUCUCUCGAUGACCACCUGUGGCGAAGGCGGUCUACCAGAACACGUCCGACGGUGAGGGAUGAAAGCUGGGGGAGCAAACCGGAUUAGAAACCCCUGUAGUCC